rnacentral:rRNA from 1 species
ACUAUUCGCUAAAGGGUGCUCGGGAGGCUACGCCGUAAAACAAACCCAUUUCUAAGGUUGACCUCGGAUCAGGUAGGGAUACCCGCUGAACUUAAGCAUAUCAAUAAC